CCUACGGGCGGCAGCAGUGAGGAAUAUUGGUCAAUGGGCGCGAGCCUGACCCAGCAAAGUAGCGUGAAGGAUGACUGCCCUACGGGUUGUAAACUUCUUUUAUAAAGGAAUAAAGUGAGGCUCGUGUGCCUUUUUGUCUGUACUUUAUGCAUAAGGAUCGGCUAACUCCGUGCCAGCAGCCGCGGUAAUACGGAGGAUCCGAGCGUUAUCCGGAUUUAUUGGGUUUAAAGGGAGCGUAGAUGGGUUGUUAAGUCAGUUGUGAAGGUUUGCGGCUCAACCGUAAAAUUGCAAUUGAUACUGGCAGCCUUGAGUACAGGUGAGGUAAGCGGAAUUCGUGGUGUAGCGGUGAAAUGCUUAGAUAUCACGAAGAACUCCGAUGGCGAAGGCAGCCUACUAAACUGCCACUGACAUUGAUGCUCGAAAGUGUGGGGAUCAAACAGGAUUAGAUACCCGAGUAGUC
rnacentral:rRNA from 1 species